GUGCUCGCUUCGGCAGCACAUAUGCUAAAAUUGGAAUGAUACAGAGAAGAUUAGCAUGGCCCCUGCGCAAGGAUGACCCAAAUUAAAACUUUCCAUGUAUAU